rnacentral:rRNA from 1 species
UACGAAGGGUGCAAGCGUUACUCGGAAUUACUGGGCGUAAAGCGUGCGUAGGUGGUUUGUUAAGUCUGAUGUGAAAGCCCUGGGCUCAACCUGGGAAUUGCAUUGGAUACUGGCAGGCUAGAGUGCGGUAGAGGGUAGUGGAAUUCCCGGUGUAGCGGUGAAAUGCGUAGAUAUCAGGAGGAACACCGAUGGCGAAGGCAGGUCUCUGGGCUGACACUGACGCUCAUGCACGAAAGCGUGGGGAGCAAACAGG